rnacentral:rRNA from 1 species
UACGUAGGGUCCGAGCGUUGUCCGGAAUUAUUGGGCGUAAAGGGCUCGUAGGCGGUUUGUCGCGUCGGGAGUGAAAACACGGGGCUUAACCCCGUGCCUGCUUCCGAUACGGGCAGACUAGAGGUAUGCAGGGGAGAACGGAAUUCCUGGUGUAGCGGUGAAAUGCGCAGAUAUCAGGAGGAACACCGAUGGCGAAGGCAGCUCGCUGGGACGGUACUGACGCUGAGGCGCGAAAGCGUGGGGAGCAAACAGG